rnacentral:tRNA from 1 species
GAUCAGGCCCAUUUGUCCGG